rnacentral:rRNA from 1 species
AUUGAACGCUGGCGGCAGGCCUAACACAUGCAAGUCGAGCGGCUGAACGGAGCUUGCUCCUUGUUUCAGCGGGGGACGGGUGAGCAAUGCCUAGGAACCUGCCUGUGUGUGUGGGAUAACGUCCUGAAAUGGGCGCUAUUACCCUAUACGUCCUGAGGCAGUAAGUGGGAGAUCUGCGGACCUCACGCUAUUAGAUGAGCCUAGGUCGGAUUAGCUAGUUGGUGGGGUAAAGGCCUACCAAGGCGACGAUCCGUAACUGGUCUGAGAGGAUGAUCAGUCACACUGGAACUGAGACACGGUCCAGACUCCUACGGGAGGCAGCAGUGGGGAAUAUUGGACAAUGGGCGAAAGCCUGAUCCAGCCAUGCCGCGUGUGUGAAGAAGGUCUUCGGAUUGUAAAGCACUUUAUGUUGGGAGGAAAGGCAGUAAGUUAAUACCUUGCUGUUUUGACGUUACCAACAGAAUAAGCACCGGCUAACUUCGUG